AAGUCGUAACAAGGUUUCCGUAGGUGAACCUGCGGAAGGAUCAUUACAGAGUUCGUGCCCCUCGUGGGUAGACCUCCCACCCUUGUGUAUUAUAAUUGAUCGUUGCUUUGGCGGGCCGCGAGCACGUCUCGCCCGGGAGUCGCCUCCUGGUGUGCCCGCCAGAGGACCACCAAACUCUGAAUGUUAGUGUCGUCUGAGUACUAUACAAUAGUUAAAACUUUCAACAACGGAUCUCUUGGUUCUG
rnacentral:misc_RNA from 1 species